AGUGAACGCUGGCGGUAGGCCUAACACAUGCAAGUCGAACGGCAGCACAGUAAGAGCUUGCUCUUACGGGUGGCGAGUGGCGGACGGGUGAGGAAUACAUCGGAAUCUACUUUUUCGUGGGGGAUAACGUAGGGAAACUUACGCUAAUACCGCAUACGACCUACGGGUGAAAGCAGGGGAUCUUCGGCCCUUGCGCGAUUGAAUGAGCCGAUGUCGGAUUAGCUAGUUGGCGGGGUAAAGGCCCACCAAGGCGACGAUCCGUAGCCGGUCUGAGAGGAUGAUCAGCCACACUGGAACUGAGACACGGUCCAGACUCCUACGGGAGGCAGCAGUGGGGAAUAUUGGACAAUGGGCGCAAGCCUGAUCCAGCCAUACCGCGUGGGUGAAGAAGGCCUUCGGGUUGUAAAGCCCUUUUGUUGGGAAAGAAAAGCAGCAGGUUAAUACCCCGCUGUUCUGACGGUACCCAAAGAAUAAGCACCGGCUAACUUCGUG
rnacentral:rRNA from 1 species